rnacentral:lncRNA from 1 species
GAUCACAUCACGUUUCUUAAAAAAGUGUACAACUGUAGUAGUUAAACGAAAUUAUUAUUAGGAGUAAAGGGAUGGGGGAGAUUAGAGGUCCCGCAUUAACAUUAGACCGAUUUUAAGGGUCCUUUUAAUUAGGACCUGACCAUACAAGCACAUACCCCCCAGUGCCUCCUCCCUCUUCCCACUAGUCCACUUGGGCCCCCUUCAUUUAAUGUCAAUCACUUC